GGCUAAUACCGCAUAAUCUCUUCGGAGCAAAGAGGGGGACCUUCGGGCCUCUCGCGUCAGGAUAUGCCUAGGUGGGAUUAGCUAGUUGGUGAGGUAAUGGCUCACCAAGGCGACGAUCCCUAGCUGGUCUGAGAGGAUGAUCAGCCACACUGGAACUGAGACACGGUCCAGACUCCUACGGGAGGCAGCAGUGGGGAAUAUUGCACAAUGGGCGCAAGCCUGAUGCAGCCAUGCCGCGUGUAUGAAGAAGCCUUCGGGUUGUAAAGUACUUUCAGUCGUGAGGAAGGNAUUAACGUUAAUAGCGUUAGUGUUUGACGUUAGCGACAGAAGAAGCACCGGCUAACUCCGUGCCAGCAGCCGCGGUAAUACGGAGGGUGCGAGCGUUAAUCGGAAUUACNGGGCGUAAAGCGCAUGCAGGUGGUUCGUUAAGUCAGAUGUGAAAGCCCGGGGCUCAACCUCGGAAUAGCAUUUGAAACUGGCGGACUAGAGUACUGUAGAGGGGGGUAGAAUUUCAGGUGUAGCGGUGANAUGCGNAGAGAUCUGANGGAAUACCAGUGNCGAANGCGGCNNCCUGGACAGAUACUGACACUCAGAUGCGAAAGCG
rnacentral:rRNA from 1 species